rnacentral:rRNA from 1 species
UACGAAGGGUGCUAGCGUUGUUCGGAAUCACUGGGCGUAAAGCGCGCGUAGGCGGCUUAGCAAGUCAGGGGUGAAAUCCCACAGCUCAACUGUGGAACUGCCUCUGAAACUGCUGAGCUAGAGUGUUGGAGGGGAUAGCGGAAUUGCUAAUGUAGAGGUGAAAUUCGUAGAUAUUAGCAGGAACACCGGUGGCGAAGGCGGCUAUCUGGACAACAACUGACGCUGAGGCGCGAAAGCGUGGGGAUCAAACAGG